rnacentral:rRNA from 1 species
CGAACGGGUGAGUAAUACAUCGGAACGUGCCCAGUAUGGGGGAUAGCCCGGCGAAAGCCGGAUUAAUACCGCAUACGACCUACGGGUGAAAGCGGGGGAUCGCAAGACCUCGCGCUAUUGGAGCGGCCGAUGUCGGAUUAGCUUGUUGGUGAGGUAAAAGCUCACCAAGGCGACGAUCCGUAGCUGGUCUGAGAGGACGACCAGCCACACUGGGACUGAGACACGGCCCAG